GACGAACGCUGGCGGCGUGCUUAACACAUGCAAGUCGAACGGAAAGGCCCUGCUUGCAGGGUACUCGAGUGGCGAACGGGUGAGUAACACGUGGGUGAUCUGCCCUGCACUUCGGGAUAAGCCUGGGAAACUGGGUCUAAUACCGGAUAGGAGCCAUUUUUAGUGUGAUGGUUGGAAAGUUUUUUCGGUGUAGGAUGAGCUCGCGGCCUAACAGCUUGUUGGUGGGGUAAUGGCCUACCAAGGCGGCGACGGGUAGCCGGCCUGAGAGGGUGGACGGCCACAUUGGGACUGAGAUACGGCCCAGACUCCUACGGGAGGCAGCAGUGGGGAAUAUUGCACAAUGGGCGCAAGCCUGAUGCAGCGACGCCGCGUGGGGGAUGACGGCCUUCGGGUUGUAAACUCCUUUCGCUAGGGACGAAGCUUUUUGUGACGGUACCUAGAUAAGAAGCAGCGGCUAACUACGUG
rnacentral:rRNA from 1 species